rnacentral:lncRNA from 1 species
CUAAUCAAGAAUUCGAAUAAACAUUUGACAACCGAUCGACUUUCGGUCUUGUUCUGUUUAAGAACUUCUUUUCUAGAUGAUUUCAUAUCUCCCCUAACAAUUACUUCCUUUUUGCUGAUAUCAACCAUUAAUCCUUUUGAACCUGCACAAAUUAGCUAACCCUGUAAACCGAAUAUUCCACUAACGAAUAACGAGAAUUUAAAACGAAAAAAAAGAUCGACGAAAAUUAUUCUAUGUAAAUACAUAAAUAUUGUAAUUACUGACCUGCCAUCUUUGAAAUAACUUGUGUUACUCUCUCUCUACAGUGAGGGCUCCCCAGGUUUGCUUUCAAAACUAUUACCUGAAAC